UGCACUCCAGCCUAGGUGACAGAGUAAGACCCUGCCUCAAAAAAUUAAUUAAUUAAUUAAAUAAAAUAAGAAAUCUAUUCUGGAAAUCAGUCAUCAAACACCACAAUUUUGGGAAUAUAGUUUGGACGACCACUUCCUUUUCUGGAAACCAUUUUUAGAAUAAGAAAAUGAGCCAGAAUACACCUUGCCAAAUAAGUUUCCCCAAAUCACAAUUAUGAUUUGGGGAAUGAACACAAGAAUGAACAAAUUAAGUCAUAAAUGUAUGCAAUCAUUUUUGAAUGUCUUUGCAGAGAAAUAUUCAAAGUGGUAAGAUGGAUUGAACUGCCAACCAAAAUUGUCAAUCUUUAUUUCAGUCUUCACUAUUAAGCUAAAAAGGUAAUUUUUCUCUUGAAUGAUGUGAAGAAUUGAAUUUCUUUCAACUGUUCCAAAAAUCUAUUUGCGGAAAUAUUUUUAUGCUCCAGCAUGUCUUAAGAGUUUAACAUUUUUGGAUGCUGAGUUAUAACAGAUUCCUGCCUGCCACCCUGUGGGGCAGGCAAGAUGAUAUUAUACAUCUCUUAUAAAACAAAGAUACAGACUCAGAAUGGCUAAUAGGAUAUUGCUGAGGCCUGCCAGGUAUCUUUUGGUGAAUAGAUACUCUUUAUCUUAAGGUAUCUUUUGGUGAAUAGAUACUCUUUAUCUUAAGGCACAGCUUUACUGACUAGAGCAAGUUAGUUGUCAGGUGUUAGCUACAAGAACAAACUAUAUUUGGAAGCAUCCCAGGCUCAUCAUCAUGAAAAAGAACAGGAUGUUCAAGACCGAGGGAAAUUGCACAGGAAAAUAAUCUUGUAUUUCUUUAUCAAAACUAGCAAAAGUCAACAUGUAUCAUAAAU
rnacentral:lncRNA from 1 species